rnacentral:lncRNA from 1 species
UAAAAGUUGUAAAAAUAUGGAAAAGAUGAUAUAUAUAGUAGAAUAAAAGUUGUAAAAAAGAGGCACGUAGUCCUUGUAGAAUUAAUUUGUGUCCUUCUCUUAUAACAUAUUGUGUGAACAUAAUCCAUUCCAACGACCCUUUCAUGACGACGACACUGAAAUCUACUUUACAUUACCACUCACUACUCAUCACAUAAUUUCCAAUCUUCAUAUUCCUGCCAAAAUCUCCUCUACUACCUUACAAUAUUCACUCAUU